rnacentral:ncRNA from 2 species
UAAGUGCUUCCAUGUUUUAGUCG